rnacentral:rRNA from 1 species
CUCGUAGUCGGAUUUCGGGUUUGUCCGCGCGGUCUGCCGUUGGGUAUGCACUGCGUGUGACUUAUCUUUUUCGGGGCAGCGCGCGUUGCUUAAUUGUGGCGUGUGUCUCCUCGCUUUUACUUUGAGAAAAUCAGAGUGUUCAAAGCAGGCCUUUGCCAUUGUAUGUGUUAGCAUGGGAUAAUGGAAUAGGACUCUGGUGCUAUUUUGUUGGUUUCGAACGCCGGGGUAAUGAUUAAUAGGGAUAGUCAGGGGCACUCGUAUUCCGUAAAGAGAGGUGAAAUUCUUAGACCCACGGAAGACGCACUACUGCGAAAGCAUUUGCCAGGGAUGUUUUCACUGAUCAAGAACGAAAGUUAGGGGAUCGAAGAUGAUCAGAUACCGUCGUAGUCUUAACCAUAAACCAUGCCGACCAGGGAUUGGUGGGUGUCGUUUUGACUCCAUCAGCACCUUUCGAGAAAUCAGAGUCUUUGGGUUCCGGGGGGAGUAUGGUCGCAAGGCUGAAACUUAAAGGAAUUGACGGAAGGGCACCACCAGGCGUGGAGCCUGCGGCUUAAUUUGACUCAACACGGGGAAACUUACCAGGUCCAGAC